AUACUAACCUGGCAGGGAGACACCAGGAUUACCACGGUGGUUUGUGCAAGGUGAGGCUUAGCCUUUGAUGUGUUGACCCCUGCAAUGUCUUCUAAGGUGGGACAUCCGACUGCAUAAUUUGUAGUAGUGGGAGACUGUGUUCGAACUUUCCCCUG
ensembl:snRNA U1 U1 spliceosomal RNA